UAAAUGAGGAGAUAUUUUUGUCUCCUGGGCUUGACACAUACUUGGUGCUCAAUAAAUAUAGAAUAAGUGAAGAAAUGAGUCAUACUUAUACCCAGAAAGAGCUGUGUGUAUAUUUUAGAAAGACACUAGAAGCUCUUGGGAGCAUGUGGACAGUUGUGGCUGCUCCUGAGCUGACACUAACUGCUCAUGACUCCUCUGUGGGAGAAGUAGGUGGUUUCCUAGAGGAAGAAGUUUGGGUAAUGAAGCCACAGAGAUUUGCUGAUACAUUUGCUAGGCACGACUUCUGGUCAUUUAGAAAGCUAUUUUGUGGCUUCAUCAAUAAGGUAUUCCCCAGCUGUGUUACUCCUUCGCAUUGUUAUCUCUUUCCCUGGAAUUGAAGGCUUCCUGGUCUGAGGCAAGGACAAUUAUUCCCUCACUGUCAACCCUGAUCUCUGGCUGCAGUAAUGAGUAGAGGAAAUGAAGAAAUAAGAAUGGAAGCAUAAUCAUUUGUCCGAGGUCACAGAGGGAGAUGAUUACACAGCUGGAAUAAACUCUCCUCCUUCAAUACCUGACUACUUGCACCAUCCAGCAGAUAUCCUCUACUACCAAGUCUCAACAGAUGGUUCAGCUGGUCUUUAAUGAACAAAAGGCAUUUGUGUAAUGGACUCUUAUUGCUCAAGAAGAAUUUCUUCCUUCCUGAAACAUGAGGAGAAACUGACAAAAACUGUCUCCUUGACCAAACCCUAGUCAGUUGCCUAUAAGCCCUGUAGGCUGUGACCUUAGUGUCUAUCCUUAUCAGACACGCAUUACACAACCAUAGCAACAGUCUUGCUAAGUUGGUUUAACCAGAACCCCUACCCUUGAUAUCUGAUUUAAUUUAUAAUUCCCCUGAGUCCCCGAGGUGACAUCCAUUCAUCCUGGCCAGCUUUCAAUAAGAAUCCUAUUGGAUUAUUUAGCUAGAAAUCACCCCUUACACUUAAUGCUUCCUUUUAGUAAUUUUGCAUCCACUAACCCCGACCUUGCUCGUUGGCUAUAAAUCCACAAGUUGUCCGUGUUGUGUUUGGAAUUGAUUACAAUUCUAUAUUGAGGUCUCUUUUCCCAUAUUGCAAUAGUUCCUGAUUAAAAUCUGCUUUUGCCCAUUGAUAUGGUUUGGUUGUGUACCCACUCAAAUCUCAUCUUGAAUUGUAGCUCCCAUGAUUCCCAUAAUUGAAUCAUGGCAGCAGUUUACCCCAUACUGUUCUUGUGGUAGUGAAUAAGUCUCAUGAGAUCUGAUGGUUUUAUAAGGGGUUUCCACUUUCACUUGAUUCUGACUCUCUUUUGUUUGCCGCUAUGUAAGACAUGCCUUUCACCUUCUGCCAUAAUUGUGAAGCCUCCCCAGCCACAUGGAACUGUGAGUCCGUUAAACCUCAUUUUCUUUAUAUAUAAAUUACCCAGUCUCAGGUAUGUCUUUAUCAGCAGCAUGAAAAUGGACUAAUACACUCCUUUAACUGUGUAGCUCUGGUGUUCUUUGAUGAGCUAGAAACUGUAAAUCUCUGGAAGUCAAAUCUUCAUUUGAACUGGUUGUUAUAUAUUAUUGAUUCUCUCAAUUAUUUAGUUAAAUAAAAGUCUUGACAUGU
rnacentral:lncRNA from 1 species